AUAUACAAGCCUCACCCAGGUCCAGGUCACACAGGGUCGCCGGUCUGUGGAGGCUACUAUGGUCAUUUUAUGCCUGCACUGAUGAUAAUGGGUAGUUUCAUGGACGGUGGUCCACCUCCGUUUCACCCGGGCGUUGGCAAUGGCUACUUCCAUCCUUAUGGUAUGAUGAACCCUUACGGUUCAGGCCAUCAACAACAACAGCAGCCCAAUGAGCAAAUGAAUCAGUUUGUGCAUCCUGUGAACACCCAACAACAGAGCUCCGUCAAUGAAGCGAUCUCACAACAACAGCCAACACAAUCUUAUCCUCGGGCUAGAAAGAGCAGGCAAAGGAGCACAGGAAUCAGUCCAAGUGGAAUCUCUGGUACGAACUCCUUUCGGCCAUUGUCAGUGGUUGAUGAUGAUGAUGAUGACAACAAUGAGCCUGAGCAAAUGAUGACUACUACCACAACAACAACAAGAACAACUGUUACUCAGACAACAAGAGAUGGAGGUGGGGUGACGAGAGUGAUAAAGGUUGUUCCGCACAACGCAAAGCUGGCGAGUGAGAAUGCUGCUAGGAUUUUCCGGUCGAUACAAGAAGAACGUAAACACUACGACUCCUUUUCUAACCACUCUUAAGCUUGUCCUUUUCUUGUUCCUUUUCGUAAUUUGUGUUUGCGACUGACUCUAUAUGUAUCUUUUUUCUUUUUUAUCAACUUCUCUAUAUGUAUCUUAAAAAAGUAGAAAAUUGUGAUACAUGUUAUUCUCCAAGUAUUUACAAUGUAAACUUCUUCAAGCCUUGAAACGUCAGAGAAACAGACAUGUAUAUCAUGACUUUUUCCCAAUCUUCUGUUCCCAUUUUCAUUAUCUUUUUUUUUUUUUUUUGCAUUUGCCGCAUAUUUUUGGUGUAUUUUGAUUAAUAUGUGAAAUUAUAAAAUCAUGUUCAAAACAUUAACAUAUGUGUUUCAUAUUACCGUGCAAAUAAAUAAUUAAAUAUUAAAAAAGUAUUAUAUACUUUAUAUAGUUAUUUGGUGAAAUCAUAUAUCAGCUGUUAUACCAGAUAUUACAAUUUUGUUGAUAUCGACAUUAAAUAUACAAUAACAUUGUUAAAAAUAGUCAUUUUAAAAUGGUUUGGUCUGGAAUGUAACCAUUUUACAGAAUUUUUUUAAAAAACAAAGUUCAUCAUGUGAACCAACUUCUGAGACACGUCUAUACAGUAUUGAUAAUAACCUUUUUAGGUGGCGUGCCUUUCAUAACGUUGCAUUAUUGUUGAAUCAAACAUACUAGCAUUGGUAUACACUUAAAAUAAAUAAUAUAUAGUGGUGAAGAGCAACUAACAUCCAAAACUGUAGUAUUGAAUUAGAUAAUAUAAAAGUCACUUUAACUGGCACACAAAAAAAUAUGAAAAGUCAGUUUCAAAAAAAAAAAAAUAUGAAAAGUCAAAACAAUUUUUGUUCUAUUGAUGACUUUAUAAAAUCCUACUAUCUUAGAAGGGAUAAUGCUGCAGCUGAAGCUGAAUCAGUGGCCGGAACUAAUUAUUUUUCUUGCUAUGCCGAGGACUAACUAAGCGGCUUCUGUUAACCUGCCUAGGUUGAAGGUCAUCGGACAUGGCCGACGGUAUUUUGAGUUCUUUCAAGAUCGUAGAAUUUGCUUUUCUUGCCAACUUAUUAUUGAGGAUGAGAACCUUUUCGUUUUCCAAAUCCAGCCUCAAAUACCCGGUGCUACACUCCUCUAUGACUUGACUUAGAUGCUUCAGAUUAUCCACUUCGAUUCCAUUCACUUUCUUCACCUGUUUCCAUUUCCAAUGUAUUUAUACUUUUAUUCAGAUGAAACUCUUCUAGUAAAUUAAUAUUUAAUUUCUGUUUUAAAAUAAGCUUUAAUCUGAACUUAAAGAGUAAGAGUAAACAAUAAAUACAUUACCUGCAAAUCUUCAAAACUGGCGUAUCCUGCGUUGAUGUCAUCCUCUAAGAUCUAUAGCAGAAACAAAACUUUACUUUUAGCCCAAGUUAUCCUCAUUCACACGUUAUGUUUUUUAAGUAAAAUACUUUGCUUAGAAAAGGAAUGCAUAAAAAGGACAAACCUGAGAAAUGAUUACUAUCUGUUCACUGGCUUUCUUGGGCAUCUUUUUGGAAGAACACUCGCACAUAUAAGAGCCAUCAAUGUAUGGUUGGGAUAGAGGUACAAAAAGAAACCCUCCGUAUAUAUAGUAACUUCGCAUCUUGUCAAAAUUAUGCAAUGGAACUAGCGGUUUCACCUGCGCACAAUAGAUAAUCCAUAACCUUGUUCACAUGAUAGUAUCUAAAAAAUGUGAACCACCAAUUAAACUAUAGUAGAUGUCACAAAACUGUUUAGUUAAAAUGUGAAGGAAGACUUACAGGUUUUAGACCGACGUUGAACUCACACUCUUUUCCCUCUCUUAACACUUUAAUUAGAGCUGUUUCAGAUGGUUUCUUCAUAGAGACCAAAUGCUUGAAAUCUACGGUGUCCUGGUUAAGAAACGGAACUGUGCACAUGUGGAAGGUUCAGUAAAACACAUUGAAAAAUUAUAUAUGCAAUACUAGUACCUUUACUAUCAUUUCCUAUAGGAACACCAUCAAUGGCCAGAAUAACAUCAUCCUUUUUCAGAAAGUUGUAAGCAUCGGACAGCGGGUUUAUUUCGUUUACAAGAAUCCCUGUCAUAUCUUUGCUCAUCUUGAAAUAGUCACGAAUUUGUGCAUUCCCCAUCAUCUGAUAUGAUAUAUUCAUUGAGCCGAAACUAACAUGUUUUUCUUCAACACAGUCUAAAAAGUGCUUAACUACUGGAGUUGGAAUCAUGUAACUGCAGGUGAAAAUAAUAUAGUUAGUUAGACCUUUUAUUUGUAAGGUCAAGAAACAAUUUUUUUUUGAAAUAUAGUUAUGCUUAUUAUGAAUAAACUGUAGAUAAAUUCAAUCUUGAAAUCUGCAACUGGACUCACCCAAUACCAUCGGACCAGAACAAACCUUCAAAUGCUACACCAGCCACUUUGUUUCCCAAAAAUACAGGACCACCACUAUUUCCAGAAUUGAUAGCUGCAUCUAUUUGUACUGUGAGUAGCUCUGUCGAGCUGUGACUAUAUUCUUUUAGUUCAACUCUCGACACAACACCUUUUGUAACGGAUAUACUGUCACCACCUGCAUCAUAAUCAUGUAAACUUACACGCAUAAAUUUCCUGCCUUUAUAUCUUCUAAUUUCUUCUUGAGAUAUUUUAUAUUCAGUAUGAUAAUCUAAAAACAAUUACCACAAGGAUAGCCAACAAGGUGCACCUCUUCCUGCAGCUUGGGUACGUCUCCAAGCUCCAAGAAGUUCAUUCCCUCCCAAAACUCAUCGUUAUCGACCUCCAAGAUGGCUAAAUCACAUUCAUGCCCAAUCAUUCGAACUUUUGCUUUGUACUUGGUGGCUGAACCGUGCUUUUGUACUUUAACCGAUGUGUGAUUAUCCACCACAUGCGCAUUUGUAAUAAUCUUCUUUCCCGAUAUUAAAAAUCCUACAGCAAUUCCACUCCAAGUAUCAAAAACCAACUCAAAUCUAUUACUACAUGUUACAAUUAUAAGUCUUAAUAUUAAUGUGAGUUUUUGUAAUAUAUGUAAAAUAAAUUAGUAAAUACCAGAGCCAGAGCAUUCAUUCUGCAUACUAAUCUGCCAAGGUUGAAAAAGUCUAGGCUUGCUAGAGACGGUGAAGACCUUAACCACUGAGUUAAGAGCUAAAUCAAUAGCAGAAGGAGGAGUUGUCUUUUUUGCUUCAUCCACAAUAGAUUCUUCUUUCUCUUGAUGAGUAACCGGAGGAGUUGUAUUUUUUGCUUCAUCCACACUAGAUUCUUCUUUUUCUUGAUGAGUAACCGAAGGAGUUGUGUUUUUUGCCUCAUCCACACUAGAUUCUUCUUUCUCUUGAUGAGUAACCGAAGGAGUUGUGUUGUUCGCUUCAUUCACAACGGGUUGUUCUUUUUCUUGUUGAAUAAGUCCAUUCAUCCAACCUUGAAAGAUGCUAGAGAACGAAAANNNNNNNNNNNNNNNNNNNNNNCUGUUAAGAGUCUCACAUUCAAAUUUUAUGAUCCAUGGUUUAAAAUUUUUGUUAUGACAAAAUACAAAUGAUUACAAAAAUUAUAUAAGUAAAAAGUCUAAUUUAAUUAAUUAUUAAGAUUAAUAUAUAUAUCGUUUUAAAUUAAACUAUAAACCAUAUAAAAUACAAUAUUUUAGUUUCAAAUUUUACUUUCAACAAUUUUUUUGAUAAAAGUUUUGAACGAUCAUUGACAACCUAUUUUUUAAAAAAAAUUAUAAAUUACUAAAUCUAUUAAUCCCACAAUAAAAAUUUUGUUAUCAGUAAUUUAAAUUUUUUCUAUAAAAGAUACAAAUGAUCAAAAAAACUAUAUGAGUAGAAAUCAUCAUUUAAUACAUUAAUAUUAAAAAUAUACUAAAAUAUAUUAUCUAUGCCAGUAUUAUUUAAAUUUAAUAACAUAUCCUAUCAAAUAUAAAAACAAAUAUUUUUUGGAUUAAUAAAAUUGAUUUAUAUGUUAGUCGAUGUUUACUGCUAAAACCGUAAAAUGAGUUUUCCAGUUAAAAUUGCAAAAUAAUUUUUUUUCUCGAAAAAACGAGUUUUUCCGCCAAAAUCGUAAACGAGUUUUUGCGCUAAAACAAGUUUUCUAUAAAUUUGCAAAAUCUUGUUUAUAUAUUAAAGCUCACAUUAAUGAUAUUAAUAUUUUACAUGAUCUUCAGAGUAAAUAAGAUAAUACUUUUGGUACCCACGGGUAAACCUAUAUCAUAUUGGGUUAUUUUCUUGGUUUGGAUUUCAACCUUGAUGUUUCUGGGUUUUUGCAGGUUGGGUAUAAACUGGGUUGGGUUAUUUGUGGGUUGGACUGAGCUGGGUUAUUUUACCCUACGUUAACAUCCCUAUCUACAAGUAUUUGUGUUCCUACAGUUCAUCUUCACGGAAGCCGAAAAGAUAAUGUAUAGUGAGAAAGGUAAUAUUUUUGAAACCUAUAAACGUUCAAGAGGGGAAUCUAUAUAGUUUUUUUCAUACUCAAAACAUUUCUAGCAUAUGUUUCAGGAACUAGAACAAUAGAUGAGCUCCGAAAGAAUCAUGUAGUUCUUCUAACAUGGAGCUGCAAAUCCACCUUUAAAUGGAGUUGCUGAUUCCCAGGAUCUGACUUAUUUGAUCAAUGUAAGUGUCAAUUAAGAAUAUGCCUUAAUGUGUCAACUAGGAAAAGAUUUCUUUCACAUAGCUGUUUUGAUUAGAGUAUUUAAUUCGAUUUUAAUGUUUUAGUCAGAUCGGGUGUGUAAUUUAUCAUUUAUGCCAUUUAGAUAAAAACAAUUAUACUUACAUAGUGAAGGUCACAUAUUCUCAAACUAACGUGUAAAGUAAUUUUAAUUAUGUGUUACAUAAUUUAAAACAAUAUUAUAAACUUUAAUAGAACUGAGAACUGACUUUUGUGUUUAUAAUUAAUCAGUGAUAAAUUUGUUAAUGUUUUUUAUGGUUAACUUUUUUUGGCUAAGUUUUACCCAUGUAAAUUAUGUGUAUAUAACUAAAGUUUAAUAGCAAAAAAAAAACAAUUUUUUUUUUUAAUUUAAAUGGUAAGAAGAAAACGUUUCCGUGCGUAGUACGGGUACCAACACUAGUUUAAGACAAUUCAACAACAAAAAUCUAAAUCUAAAUCCUUAUACAAAUCUUUCUCUUACAUUAAAACAAUAUUAUAAUUGAUUCAGACAAUCUCGAAAAAGCAUCCAAUAUUGAUUUCAAGCAUCCAAUAUUGAUUUCGGGAUGUCACACCGAUCACCAGAAUGAUGAUUGUUUUGCUUUGUGUCUCCUGGUGUCGGAAACAUUGAGAGAGGUCAGUAAAACAUAACUAAUCCUUGAAGAAGUAUACAAUCUCCUCUGGAGUAAUCAUAAAUGCAGCUCGAGAACGAAAGAACAAAGCAAAAAUGAGCUAGGCGAGAUAAAAUGAUAGUUGUGGAAACCAUUCCAAAAACCUGAAAACUAGAUUUGCUUACAGUGAUUAAGUUUCGUUUGUGAUAAAAACUUGUACAUGACGAUAUAUAACCUACGGAAAAACGCAAAAAGAACCAAAAAAAAAAAGAAAGUAGAUUAGCUUUCAAGUUGUGUUUCAAAAAAAAAGAUUAGCUUUCAAGAUUUCUUACACUUUAUAGGUUGUUCGUUUUUUAAUCAUAAAACGGGUCUUCGGUGUCAAGGACUUUUCAGUAGUAAACUAUGCUGUGAAAUGUUUAUAUCUUCUUCUUCGAUCUCAUUGGGCCCCAUUUUCUUCUUCUUCUUUUCCCCUUCAUCGCCUAUCCUCUCUUCUCUCUCUCUCUCUCGAAUCUUGUUCCUUUGCUCCUCUGCGUUUUUUUUACAUCUAUACUUCAUACAUCUUGAGGUCGGUGUUUGAGUUUUUCUUUGAUCGGUGAGAUCUAAUCGUAGUCGGUGGAGCCUGGUUUACUGAAAAGUUAUUGAAGCUCACGUUUUUACUGGGAGGGGUUUUACUAGGGGUUUGUGGGUGAUGAAGAGAGGGAAGGAAGAGGAGGAGAAGAAGAAACUGGAACCAAUGUUUCCUCGACUUCAUGUGAACGAUGCAGACAAAGGAGGAGGACCUCGAGCUCCUCCUAGAAACAAGAUGGCUCUCUACGAGCACCUCACCACCCCUUCUCACAGGUUUACUGAUCAUAGUUCCUCGCCACGUCACACCAACACUCUCUUUCCUCCUCCUCCUGGACCAUCUAACCAGGUACUACUGAGUUUUUAGUAAUAGUAUAUAUUAGUUACAGCAAUUCUUAAUUUCUUUCUGUGUCUUAUUACCAUGUUUCAGUGUUUUGUUUCUGGACUAGCCUUCUUGUUAUGCUGAAUAGUUUCAGUAGAAGAUUAUAUAGUGUAUAUGGGACAUUGGAAAUAAUUAUCUUUUUUUUAUUCUGCAGCCUUGUGGGGUGGAGAGAAACUUGACUUCCCAGCAUCUUGAUUCUUCAGCUUCUGGCCAUGUAACCCAAAUGUCCUCCAUGGAAAAUGUGACAACUUUAGCACAUCGUCGUGGUGAUCAAAGGAAAACGCUAAGAGAGGAAGAUGAUUUUGCGGUUCCUGUAUAUGAUAAUGAUAGCUCAAGAAGAUUUCAAUGUCCUCUUGAAAAGUCAGCAUCGGGUUGUGAAAGAGUUAAUGCUUCCUUGUUGAGACAAGAGUCUACAAGUAGUAGGUUAGACCAUGAAACUGGAGUGAUGGAAACUGAUGAUGGAGUUGAAUCUCAUGGCAAUCCUAAUGACGUCGAUGAUGAUGAUGAUUCGAUAUCCAGCAUAGACGUCUCUCCUGAUGAAGUUGUGGGAGUAUUAGGUCAAAAACGUUUCUGGAGAGCAAGGAAAGCUAUUGCCAAGUAAGUUCACUCACUAGACUUUUGGUGAACUUGGUUAUGUAUUUUUUGUUCUUUCUCUGCUGUUUUUAAUGCUUAAAUGAUGCAAUGGUUUGCUCACAACAUACAUAUAUGAUUAUAACUCUGCUUUAUAUUUUGAGAGAGAGCAGAUUUGGUUUAUUUUUGAUUGAGAAGUGAUAAUUUUUUAGUGAAGAAACCCCCUGACUCCUCCAAAAAUUGUCCUAAUAUAUGGUAGUUGAAGAUCUCUCGCAUUUUAACACAUUGGAUCGUGUUAGCAGGGGGGGGGGGAGAACAUUCUCUGUUGACGUACAUUGUGCAAGGUUCCCGCCGAGACAGUUAAUGGAUUUUGCAUCUGCUUGCUGGAACAUGUCCCUGUCCCUGUCUCGGUUUGGUAUUUGCUUUUAUUCUGCAUUUUCCCUUCUUGUCAUUCAACGGGUUGAACCAGGUAGUUAACCAUACAUAAAGCUAGUUAUGUGUCUUAUGAAAAUGAAGAAUUAUAGUAGCAGAGGUUGUAAACUAUGGAGUUUUCUAUGGAUUUUAGACUCUGUUACUCAGGUUUUAAGGUUCUAUGUAAGGUAUCAAUUAAACCCACCCCUUGCAUAAUGUCUUCAGUUUUUCUUCUUCUAUUAUUUAUGCCUUUCUCUGUGUUUUUUGACGCAUUGAUUUGCUUCUUCAUCAUUGUUGGUUAGAGGCUUCUUGCUUCUUUUUUUUUCCGAUUCUACUGUUCUAUUAUUUGUUCAACCGAAACUAUAUCUAUCUCUCUUUGUGGAACUUUUCUUAUGGGUCAUCUUCUUGUUUCUCCGUAACAGUCAACAAAGAAUAUUUGCGGUUCAAUUAUUUGAGUUGCACAGGCUGAUUAAGGUAAACAACACAUUCAGAAAACUUCUCCUACGUUUCAUGAAUAUUUGUUUUGUGCAAACCUAGGCAACUGUACUUUGUUUUCACCAUAAUCAAGGUUCAAAGACUUAUUGCUUCAUCAUCGGAUGUCUUGCUCGAUGAGAUCAGUUAUCUUGGAAAUGUUCCAGUGAAGAAGCUUCUUCCCUCUGAAUUUAUAGUAAAGCCUCCUCCUCUACCACAGGUUACCAAACACAGAAGGGGCGACUCGGAGAAGACUGACCAAGAUAAAAUGGAAUGCUCAGCUGAGAACGUAGUCGGGAAGUCGUCAAACCAAGGUCAGCAGCAUCAACCGUCCAACUACAUGCCUUUUGCGAGCAACCCACCAACAGCUGUAAAUGGAUGUUACUAUCCUCCUCCUCCCUCUGGAGGAAAUCAGCAAUGGUUGAUCCCUGUAAUGUCUCCUUCCGAAGGACUAAUAUACAAGCCUCACCCUGGUCCAGGGCCGCCCGUCUGUGGAGGCUAUUAUGGUCAUUUUAUGCCUGCACCGAUGAUGAUGGGUAGUUUCAUGGGCGGUGGUCCACCUCCGUUUCACCCGGGCGUUGGCAAUGGCUACUUCCCUCCUUAUGGUAUGAUGAACCCUUACGGUUCAGGCCAUCAACAACAACAGCAGCCCAGUGAGCAAAUGAAUCAGUUUGUGCAU
rnacentral:lncRNA from 1 species